CUUACCUUUCCCUCUCUCCCCCACGCUCCAACUCCAGAGGGGUCGGAAACAGGAGCUAGGGAGUUAGGAAGGAGGUGAGCAAGACACAGAAAAGGAGCCUCCAGGAUCCCUUCCCCAUGAAGGCACCCAGCUGUAGAAGGCCCUAGUUGGGAGAAGACGAGCAAUAUAACCAUGAGAGAAGUAAGAAGCGUUGACUAUGAGCUGGAAAUCAUGGAGCAGUUUCCAAGUGCAUCCUGUGGAAGCCUACAACAAGAACGAGGAAGGGAUCAAGGAAGAAGAAUUCCUUUAAUGAGGAAAGGUGGAGUUACCAUGGGAAACGCGAUGGUGAACAUGUUGUUAACUGGAAAAUACACAACGAACUACACUGCUCUAGAAUAAAG